AUAACACAUAAUUAUUAUGGUGUUUUUACAAACACUGUAUGAAAUAGUUUGUUUAUAUAUUUGAUAUUUUCAUCACAUGGGCAUUAUGUCUGUGAAGCAGGUAAAGAAAUUAAUAUGAAAAUCACAAGAGUAGUGUGUGGAAUCCAGGGCUGAGUGGGUCCCCGGUACUCUAUGACAGGUGUAAAAACCAACAGUGGGGUCAGGUGGUCUUGAGUGGGUCCCCGGUACUCAAUGACAGGUGUAAAAACCAACAGUGGGGUCAGGUGGUCAGGUGGGUUGAGUGGAUCCUCGGUACUCUAUGACAGGUGUAAAAACCAACAACAGUGGGGUCAGGUGGUCUGAGUGGGUCCCCAGGGUACUCUAUGACAGGUGUAAAAACCAACAACAGUGGGGUCAGGUGGUCUGAGUGGGUCCCUGGUACUCUAUGACAGGUGUAAAAACCAACAACAGUGGGGUCAGGUGGUCUGAGUGGAUCCCUCGGUACUCUAUGACAGGUGUAAAAACCAACAACAGUGGGGUCAGGUGGGUUGAGUGGAUCCUCGGUACUCUAUGACAGGUGUAAAAACCAACAACAGUGGGGGUCAGGUGGGUUGAGUGGGUCCCCGGUACUCUAUGACAGGUGUAAAAACCAACAGUGGGGUCAGGUGGGUUGAGUGGGUCCCCUGUACUCUAUGACAGGUGUAAAAACCAACAACAGUGGGGAUCAGGUGGUCUGAGUGGGUCCCUGGUACUGUAUGACAGGUGUAAAAAACAAGAGUGGGGAUCAGGUGGUCACAAUGGGUGAGCUGGCAGAUUGUGUAUCAUUAUACCUAAUUGUGUGGACUGUAGGGCUGUAAAACAAGCCAUAUCCCUUUAUAAAUUCAAUUCACUAGUGACUAUUAUUAGAAUCGAAUAUUCAUGAAUUUGGUUUUAUAAAAAGAAUGCUUUACUCUUGAAUUUCUCUGUUACUUAUCAAAGCAUGAUAAAGAUCAAAUAUACCCACUCCAGACAGGAUAACACUCCCAUCUAGCAUUUGAUUUGUGGUCUCUGGUCCUUUUCUUGGUAAACACUAUCAACAUCGUCAAAACAUGUCAAAUAAUGUGUUUUGUUUAUGUUUCACUGAAUAUAACGAAUAAUAGAUGAACUGAGAAAAAUAAUCAUAAUUGCACAAUGACUCUUUUCCCCAUGACACAAGUAUUUCUUCCUCAGUGACAUAGUGACUGAAACAAAUGGCUGCUCCUUCAAAGACAUAUCUGAGGUCAUGUUUGUCAAAACAGUUGACAAAAGUAGAUAAAUAAAAUAAAGAAAGAAAAACAAAAUUAACGUUGAAGAGGGUAGUCAGGUGUCUCUCUCCCACCCACACACACCCACCCACACAC